AUCGCUUCUCAGCCUUUUGGCUAAGAUCAAGUGUAGCAUCUAUUCCAGUUCUUGCUUCUGGUUGCGGAACUCCAGCUCUGACCUCAUAGCUUACAAGUGUAGAACUUGCUCCUGUGAAAGGUGACCCAAC
rnacentral:snRNA from 1 species